GACGAACGCUGGCGGCGUGCCUAACACAUGCAAGUCGAACGGGGUCCAUGGGAGCUUGCUCCCGGAAGACCUAGUGGCGAACGGGUGAGUAACACGUGAGAAACCUGCCCUGGAGUGGGGAAUAACUCGGGGAAACUCGAGCUAAUACCGCAUACCCUCGGAUGGUCGCAUGGCCGACCGAGGAAAGAUUCAUCGCUUCAGGAGGGUCUCGCGGCCUAUCAGCUAGUUGGUGGGGUAACGGCCUACCAAGGCAACGACGGGUAGCUGGUUUGAGAGAACGAUCAGCCACACUGGGACUGAGACACGGCCCAGACUCCUACGGGAGGCAGCAGUGGGGAAUCUUGCGCAAUGGGCGAAAGCCUGACGCAGCAACGCCGCGUGCGGGAUGACGGCCUUUGUGGUUGUAAACCGCUUUCAGCAGGGACGAAAAUGACGGUACCUGCAGAAGAAGCCCCGGCUAACU
rnacentral:rRNA from 1 species